UCUGCUUGGCUCAUUCAGGUUGUGUGUAGCUCAGUGAUUCUGGGCAGCUUCUGAGGCUUACAGGAACUCUGUGGGCAGCUGACCAUCUGUGCAGGGGAAGACAGAGAAAAAUCCUGCAUAGAAACAGGACCUAUGUCUUUUUCCUGCUUUAUUACUGAAUGAACACAUACCAGGCAAUUUGCAUGAAACAUGUAUGGAAGAGAGAGGGCUGGAUGAAGUCAAGGUGAAGCAAAGUCUAACAGCCACACAACAGCCGGAAAAGAAAUGGCCCUGGAAAGGUCUAGAGUAUGAUUUUGAGUCUGAGCAUCCUGCAGCUGCUACUCCCUGCUCGGUUUUCAGCACAGCUCACAUGGCACACCAGAGACACUGACUCAGCACGAUUUUACAGGCAUGGGCAAUAUGAUGUGGAUGAGCUUUGCUGAACAGCAAAAGAUGUGAAAUAAAUGUUGUGCCCAGGUAUACAUUUGGCUUGAGUAUGCUUAUUACAUUAAACUUGUAACUGUGCCAGCUGAAAAAAAAUGCAUUGGAUACUUCUGGAUAAGAUUUGGAUUUGUAAAUCUGGUGCACAUAAAUUGUCAGAACCUAAUUAGGCCAUAGGAUUCCACUCACUGUGGGUGAGCUGCAGGUAUUUUUAAAGAGCUCAGCACAAUACCCACAGAUGCAUGACACAGCCAGAGUGUUCAUUCCCCUCUAGAUGGAAACGCCCUGAACUAUGAAACUCCUAUCACUUUCAUUUUGAGGCUGUUUGGUAUGAAUGCCGACACAAUUCACCUGUAGGAGCUUUUUCUUUAUCUGCUAU